UGAUGCAGCAACGCCGCGUGCGGGAUGACGGCCUUCGGGUUGUAAACCGCUUUUAGUAGGGAAGAAGGGCUUCGGCUUGACGGUACCUGACAGAAAAAGGACCGGCUAACUACGUGCCAGCAGCCGCGGUAAUACGUAGGGUCCGAGCGUUGUCCGGAAUUAUUGGGCGUAAAGAGCUCGUAGGCGGUUUGUCGCGUCUGCUGUGAAAACUAGAGGCUCAACCUCUAGCCUGCAGUGGGUACGGGCAGACAUGAGUGGUGUAGGGGAGACUGGAAUUCCUGGUGUAGCGGUGGAAUGCGCAGAUAUCAGGAGGAACACCGAUGGCGAAGGCAGGUCUCUGGGCACUUACUGACGCUGAGGAGCGAAAGCGUGGGGAGCGAACAGGAUUAGAUACCCUGGUAGUCCACGCCGUAAACGUUGGGCGCUAGAUGUGGGGACCUUUCCACGGUUUCCGUGUCGUAGCUAACGCAUUAAGCGCCCCGCCUGGGGAGUACGGCCGCAAGGCUA
rnacentral:rRNA from 1 species